rnacentral:lncRNA from 1 species
CCGCUUCUUUAUUUACACCUACCACCCACACAACCAUUUGGAUUAGAGAGGGGAUUUGGUCUUGACUGCUUGAGUUACAAUUCCCUUUUUCAUUAUGAAGUGCUAUGAAUUUAAUGAUUUGUCGUUGGUUAAGUUUCAAUAAUCCAAUCCCCUCUCUCCUAAUUCAAUUCAUCUUAAGUUAAAUUAAUGCUUACUAUUCAAUUCUAUAAUUAAUUAAGAGAUGUGAUUUUCCCACUACUCUUUUCUCUACUUUACACUCUCU